rnacentral:rRNA from 1 species
UGGGGAAUUUUGGACAAUGGGCGAAAGCCUGAUCCAGCAAUGCCGCGUGUGUGAAGAAGGCCUUCGGGUUGCAAAGCACUUUUGUCCGGAAAGAAAUCCUUGGCUCUAAUACAGUCGGGGGAUGACGGUACCGGAAGAAUAAGCACCGGCUAACUACGUGCCAGCAGCCGCGGUAAUACGUAGGGUGCAAGCGUUAAUCGGAAUUACUGGGCGUAAAGCGUGCGCAGGCGGUUUGCUAAGACCGAUGUGAAAUCCCCGGGCUCAACCUGGGAACUGCAUUGGUGACUGGCAGGCUAGAGUAUGGCAGAGGGGGGUAGAAUUCCACGUGUAGCAGUGAAAUGCGUAGAGAUGUGGAGGAAUACCGAUGGCGAAGGCAGCCCCCUGGGCCAAUACUGACGCUCAUGCACGAAAGCGUGGGGAGCAAACAGGAUUAGAUACCCUGGUAGUCCACGCCCUAAAACGAUGUCAACUAGUUGUUGGGGAUUCAUUUCCUUAGUAACGUAGCUAACGCGUGAAGUUGACCGCCUGGGGAGUACGGUCGCAAGAUUAAAACUCAAAUGAAUUGACGGGGUCAUAGCUGUUUCCU